rnacentral:rRNA from 1 species
GAUGAACGCUGGCGGCGUGCCUAAUACAUGCAAGUCGAGCGAACAGACGAGGAGCUUGCUCCUCUGACGUUAGCGGCGGACGGGUGAGUAACACGUGGAUAACCUACCUAUAAGACUGGGAUAACUUCGGGAAACCGGAGCUAAUACCGGAUAAUAUAUUGAACCGCAUGGUUCAAUAGUGAAAGACGGUUUUGCUGUCACUUAUAGAUGGAUCCGCGCCGCAUUAGCUAGUUGGUAAGGUAACGGCUUACCAAGGCGACGAUGCGUAGCCGACCUGAGAGGGUGAUAGGCCACACUGGAACUGAGACACGGUCCAGACGCCUACGGGAGGCAGCAGUAGGGAAUCUUCCGCAAUGGGCGAAAGCCUGACGGAGCAACGCCGCGUGAGUGAUGAAGGUCUUCGGAUCGUAAAACUCUGUUAUUAGGGAAGAACAAAUGUGUAAGUAACUAUGCACGUCUUGACGGUACCUAAUCAGAAAGCCACGGCUAACUACGUG